UAUGACCAUUUUGAACUGUCCUCUUAUACCAAGAUUGCCAGAACAGGGCCUCCCACAAUCACUGAAAGAAUUGUACAUCAAAGAAUGCCCACUGCUAACAAAGAGGUGCAAAGAAAAUGAUGGUGAAGAUUGGCCUAAAAUUGCUCAUGUACCAACCAUAGAGAUUGAAGAUUGUUAGAGUAAAUAGGAAUAGUACCACAUUGUGUAUCCACAUAAGGUGUUAGUCCUAUGUACCCUAUAUAAUCAGCCCAUGAGGCCCAAUGCAAUAUAUCAAAUAUUCCACCAAUUAUAUUCUCCUUGAAAGAUGAUAGUAUCAUGACCGACUGGAUCAUAAGAAGAAGAUUAUUCUAAAUGCAUCAUAGCAACACAACAGAGGUACGAACUCAAUGAAUCUUCAGCUACUGUUUCACACAUAACAGUGUAUCAUGGAUAUGAAUACUUAAUAUUCUUGGCAAAUGGCUGUAUACUCAUUUUUUUCAUCAUUUCUGUACUCUGCACAUACUUAUGCUUGAGUGCACUUUAUAUGCCAAGCAGUAAUCAUAAAGAACCAAUAUACAAACCUGCACAAAAAUUGGUUGCAAUGUAGUACAUGCAAGAUUUCAACCUUUGUGUUUGUCAAGUAGCAGUAUAUCUUAGAAUAGUGCAACUAGAGAUAGCCAUUUACAGUACAACAAGCAAACUAAAAUUGAAAAGAAAACAAAGAUAACACAAUUUACCUUUACUAUCGUGAAAACCUAAUGUUUAAUGUUUUCAAAAAGCCUGUCGGCAACAGUUUACUUCAGAUCACCAACCAUGGCCAAGUCAUAUCUUCUCAGGCAAAAACUAGAGGUUUUAACUAUGUUACGAGCAAGUUUCCCAUGCAUGCAUGCAUAGAAACAAGUUUACAACAUAAAGUAUCCAGGGUAAUAACAUAUUUAUCAAAAUGUUGAUAACAAUAUCUCAUACUUCAUUAUUUAAUUUAGGGUAGCUCGCUGUUGAAUAUGUAAGAUCUGCAAUUCUGUCCUGCAUAAACAAUGAUUUGGAAUUCUCAUUUAUAUACUUCUUUUCUUCAUGUACAGAUCUUCAUUUGAAUUAUGAAUGUUGUUUCAAGAGCAUUAUACCUUAUAGGUUCCAUCCACCAUCAGAUUGCCGUAUCCAAAUGUAUGAACCUACAGCUAGAUGGUUCACUCGAUACUUCUCAAGAAAUAAGGUAUUUUCACUAGACAACAUGAAAACAAGAAUACUGGCAAGUAGUCAUGUCAGUUUCUUUCUUCUGUGAAACCACAUUCUAUUCAUCAGGAACCUGUGCCUCUUAUAGUACCACCGUGUCAAAAUGUUAUAUCACGGAGGACCUAGUUUUCUUUUCUUUUCUUUUUUAAGGAAUUUUAUGGUGCUUGUAAGGCUAGCCUGAACAUUUGUAUUGCAAAACUGAGAGCAAAUUUGGAGGCAAAAGCAGAAGUUCAGGGUGGAAGGUAUACAUCCUCAAAUUACUAUCUAGUACUUUCUCUUCUUCUACCCCGUGAACACUAUCAUUUCACAAAGUAUAUCCUCUUGGUACUCAAAUGUGUCAUUGCAACUUUCAGGAGCUAAACAGACAUUUUUUUCGGAUACAAAUCCAUUUUACCUCCCGUGAUGGGAAUGGACACAUCUAAUUGUAAAAUUUGUAGUACAAAGAUUUUUUUUUUAAUAACUAUUCUAAUUAACUCCCAUGGGAUUGUAAAAUUUCACCUAGAAUCCGGAGAGAGAGAGAAAACAAAGAUGGUCGACUAAUCGUCAUCAUCCCUGAUGCAACAAAUGCUAGUAAGCACGCAGCCUUCGAGAACGACAGAGAGCACUCAAUAGCGACAAAAUGUAAUGCAUCAUGGGUGGAGGAAUGCCAUGGAGAUUGCUGGUCUCCUUACGAAUCCACAUGCGGCGAAUCCGCGAUAAUAAGCGAAAAAAAGCCAACAAGCUCACCGUCUCCGAAGCAAAUGGAGCAUUGCAGACUCGCCCGCACUUCUUCCUUUCUCAUCCUCCCCGGGCUCCAAUUUAUGGCGGCGGCGACUAUGGUAUGGCGUAGUUGCGCUGGGCAUCGCCGCACCGCGGGGUUGUGGUUGGUCUUCUCUAGGAAAGGUGGUGGUUUGGUGGCUGGUGCUCAGGCAGCGCAGCGCCGCCGCCCCCCGCCGGUGAGCCUCGGCCCUCGGGGUGAUUCGGGUGACAGUUGACACGCAAUCUCCAGAUUGCAGAAAUAGGGCCGAAUCCCAUUUGAUUGAGCCCCCUCGUUCUCCGUCUGCUCAAGAUACGUGUGCCCAUUAGGAAUCCAGGACAUACAGAAUGGGCUGGCUAGUGGGCCGUGGCCUCCUUCGUUGUAGUUUGAACUUCAAAAUCAGACAUCACAUUCUCUAAUAAACUCUAUUAAAUUAAAGGUGUAUAAUUGUUCCAAAAAAAAUAAAGGUGUUUAGUUUUUAUUUCCUAUUUUAUCUAAACUCUAAUCACUUGGGAAUGGUAUCAUUUUCUAGUGUUUAUAUGCUCAUAAUGCGGCACAAAGUAGAGCUAAAGAAAAAAAAAAAUGCAUUUGGUUUUGAUCGUCGCCAAACUCUUUCUCAUUUUAAUCGUCGCCUUUGGUCAUAGAUAGUAGAGAGGAGAGGUGGCGUGAGAGUAUUGUAGGAAGUAAAAUUUAACAGAUGAUAGAAUUCUUUCUGUUUUAACAGUAGCUAUAGAUUAUUUAAUAAAGACCACAAGUUAGACAAAUAAAAGGGC
rnacentral:lncRNA from 1 species